AAUUAUGCUGAUGGAUGUGAAUAUAAUGUAAUUGAGAUAGGCUUCAUGCAAAAGCUCUCUUGUAAGGUUUCAUUACAAAGCUUAUAAUCUACAGAGUGUAAUCAUCCUAUUUGUAUAAAUGUACCACUCUUGUAUCUGAAACUA